GGAAUUUGGGGGCGUCACAGGAAGUCUUUGCAUUUAUAUACAGAUGAUCUAAUUAUACUACUUCAAUGUUGAAAAGAAUAACUAUAUAUAUAUAUAUCUUCCAUGGAUGCAUCUGAAUUGUGCAUGUAUAUACAUGUUAGACUGAAUAUUUUCAAAGAAAAAAAUCUGAUUGUAAGUAAUUUUGUGCACCAAUAUACUCAAUUUAAUAUGAUUGGUCAGAAAAUCAAACUUUAAUGAAAAUAGUGUUAAUUUAAAUUUUGAAUAUGAAAGCAGUACUAUUAGUACACAGAUUGGUAUGCAAAUUCUCUUAUCGUAAUAUUCAUGAGGUUCUCUCAAUGAUUACUGUAAUAUUCAUGACGUUCGCUUAAUGAUUAUUGUAACGUCGCCUACAAUGAUGAAGGCUUCAAGAUCUGAUGCGUGCAUGCUUAUUUUCUUUCAUUUUUUUAGUUUUUGUAAAAAUUUCUUGUUUCUAAUUUAUAAAGCAUCUGACUUAUUUUAAAUAUUUAAGAGGUUAAAAAACACUUAAUUUAUACAUAUGUUUAUAGAAGCACUUCCUAAUAAUUAUAAGUCGAUUUGCUUAUCUUUGAGAGUUGGAAAGAAUAUAAUAAUGAAUUAUUUACACCUUUGUUGUCACGCCAAAGUGCUGAAAGACAUCCGGAUCAGAUGGGGAUAGAAUAAAGUAAGAGCAAGGUGUGUGGUUUGAUGUUGUUAAACGUUAAAAAAAUAUGGGAAAGAUUGGCACAAAUGUGUCAAACUAUUAGCCACUUGAAGUAAAGAAAGAAGAGAUAAGGGAUCUCCUAUGGGAAGAUUUUUUCUUUCCCUUUUUCUCUGUUUCUUUUGUUUAUAAUGGAUUAAAUGCAAUUUCUUUAGGGAAAGACAAUGACAGCACACAAGAAGGAAAAGUGUUGUGGCGUUCAAUCCCUAGACAAAAGCAUUUGAUCAUUUUCCAUUUCCUCUUGGAAAAUUUGGGGUUUCUUUUUUAUCCACUUCGUUCAGACAUGUCAGCUACUGUUUAGUAGUUCCAUCAUCCUCCGAAUUGCUCCCUGCUCGAAACUGUGUAGUCACCAUUCCAGUCCAGGUAAUAUCCUCCAUUUCCUCUGCAAUAUUUUGACGAACUUCUGCUACUUGGUCUUCACGACGAUAGUAUUGAAUUAGCCCAUUUUUGCAUAAUACUUGGGCUUUUUCUUCUUCUUUUUUUUUUUUUGGGGUCGCGGGGGAGGACAACUAUUAUUCUAACGGCCAAAUUCAAACAGUACCCAACCCUUUAUUGGUUUUCAUUCACACCCAAUAAUGUGUUCAUACGACCAUGAAGUUAUGCAUUCAGUCACAACCAUAUACACACAUAUAUUGGGUAACUCCAUUCAAGACAACCCAUUUGUGUGUAUAUAUAUAUAUCUAUAUGAAUCGAAGUUGGUAGAAACCAUAUAUAUAUAUAUAUAUAUAUAUAAUUGGAAGGCAAUCCAUUUCAUCAACAAAACUGAAGAACUUCAUGCAUUGACUUAUUACUGUCACAUAAAUUUCCUCGUUUUUGUUCUCUUGAUUUUUCUGGAUUGCAGUAUUUAACAAAAUGGUUGGAAGAAACUAGGGGUGUGCAUCCGGACCGGAUUUUUUUCCGGUCCGGUCCGGAAAUCCGGAUCCGGGUGAAUCCGGGCGGUUAUCCGCCCGGAUUACACCCGGGCGGUUUUAUAAAAUCCGGAUCCGGUUACGGAUCCGGUUUUAUAAUCCGGUAAUCCGUAACCGCCCGCUAGGUUUGUUAUUUGCCGAAAACGAUGCCGGUUGAAUCUUUGAUCUCUUUUCCUCUCAACUCUCGAACGGAUUGCAAAUUUCAAAGCCUCCCUCACUUCAGUCUUCUCUCAAGUCUCAACCCUAGCCGUGCCAUCGCUCAACCCUAGCCGUGCCGUCUCUCAACUCUGUCGAAGCCUACGAUCUAUAAAAAGUAAAGGAUUUCUGCAGUUGAGGCUACGAGCCUUUGUUAGGGAUGUGAGUUUUUGCUCCAUUAAUCUCUCUAGAUGUUGUUAUUGUGUUUAUUAAACUUUUUUUUUCUCUUCUUUUUGGUUUAGAUCUGGGCUACGGGCCGAUUGCGAAUCUAUCUGUCUCAGAUAGAUGUGGAGGUUUUCUUUUUCUUUAUUUUAGCAAUAUUGUAUCUGUUGUCUCAGAUGGGUUAUGGUUUUUGUUUGUUUUCCUGAUCUGGGUUUGUGGUGUUUUUCUGUGGUGGUGAAGCUUUCUAUGCAUAACAAGAUCGGAAUAGAGGUUUGGUGUUUGUCACCAUGGGUUCACCUGAGGAGGAUCUUACGGCUCUCAAUAAUCUCGAAUCGUAUGAGUUAAGAGGGCCGCACUAUAAACUUGUGGCUUUCAAAUCCAAGAAAGAUGCUGAUGAAGCUCUUCUUGCUUUCCAAGGGAAGGAUUAUCAGUUUGAAGAUGAUGGCCUGGAAGAUAUGUGGAAGGAGAUGAUGCUGUAGAUCCUCCAUCUGAAGAACAAGCAAGAGGAGGGGAAGAUUGUGAUCAUUCUUUUGUCUUGAAGGAUGAUCUUUUUUUCUUUUUCUUUUUAUCGGUUAAUGUAUUAGUUUAAUUAGUUGUGAUGUAUUAGUAUUUAUUUUAUUCUUUGUAAAUUUAUGUUUUGCAUUGUGAUGUAACAACAAUAUUAUUUA